rnacentral:sRNA from 1 species
GUGAUGAUCUUGAACGAACUGCGCCCAGGACUCAAGUAUGACUUCCUCUCCGAGAGCGGGGAGAGCCAUGCCAAGAGCUUCGUCAUGUCUGUGGUCGUGGAUGGUCAGUUCUUUGAAGGCUCGGGGAGAAACAAGAAGCUUGCCAAGGCCCGGGCUGCGCAGUCUGCCCUGGCCACCAUUUUUAACUUGCACUUGGAUCAGACGCCAUCUCGCCAGCCUAUUCCCAGUGAGGGUCUUCAGCUGCAUUUACCGCAGGUCUCAUCCAAGAAUCUCACAUUCAAGAUAAGUGACACCAGCCCGUCAGCAGCUGAAAACCCAAGUCUGGGUCAGGAUGGCAGCCUCUGGGCUCCCACAUGACUGGCUGGUGGCUGUUUGCUGUUCCUAAGCCGAGGAGCCCAUCAAAGCAGCGAAUGAGCCAGCACAGCAGUGAGCACCUAUCAGAGCGCAGGGAGGGAGGGGCCUCCAACAACUGUUCUAGGGCCUGCCAGUUGCCUGGGAGUCUCUACUUUGAAUUUCCUACAUGGGCUGUAUGAGGACUUCCCCGCAUGCCCAGGCUGGAGGUGGACAGCCACGCUUCCAUUUGACCUCCCCAGCCCAGUGAAAUCAGGAUGAAGGAAGGGGAAGUUCCAGGGUGGGCUUAGAUUGGCUUACGUGAAAGAGAAAAAGUAAAGGAGAAAAUCACCUUUAGUUCCCAUCUCUAAAUCCUAAAACUCUGAUUAUGUAUUCCUUCUUUU